rnacentral:rRNA from 1 species
AUUGAACGCUGGCGGCAUGCCUUACACAUGCAAGUCGAACGGCAGCACGGGAGCAAUCCUGGUGGCGAGUGGCGAACGGGUGAGUAAUAUAUCGGAACGUGCCCGGUCGUGGGGGAUAACGUAGCGAAAGCUACGCUAAUACCGCAUACGAUCUACGGAUGAAAGCGGGGGAUCGCAAGACCUCGCGCGAUUGGAGCGGCCGAUAUCAGAUUAGGUAGUUGGUGAGGUAAAGGCUCACCAAGCCGACGAUCUGUAGCUGGUCUGAGAGGACGACCAGCCACACUGGGACUGAGACACGGCCCAGACUCCUACGGGAGGCAGCAGUGGGGGAAUUUUGGACAAUGGGCGCAAGCCUGAUCCAGCAAUGCCGCGUGCAGGAUGAAGGCC